rnacentral:RNase_P_RNA from 1 species
GCAGCAAGUUGUUCCAUCGCUCAUGGUAUUCCGGUGUUUUCCGGAUGUACGUGAGAGGAAAGUCCGGGCAACAGAGAGCACCAUGCUUCCUAACGGGAAGAUAUCCGUGAGGGUAUAUUAAGUGUAACAGAGAAUAACCGUCCUGCCUCAGGCGGGAUAAGGGUGAAAAGGCGGGGUAAGAGCCCACCGGUUCCUGUGGUGACACAGGAAGCCGUACACAUCAUGGGUUGAAAGACCAUGUAUACCGGCGCUGAGGGCUGCUCGUCCGAUGCCGGGGGGUAGGUCGUAUGAUCCCUGCAGUAAUGCCGGGACAAGAUAAAUGAUGGGAAACGGUUCUGGAUCCUUUCGCAGGAGGCUGAUCCGUACAGAACCCGGCUUACAGACUGGCUGCAUAA